rnacentral:rRNA from 1 species
AACGAACGCUGGCGGCGUGCCUAACACAUGCAAGUCGAACGAGAAAGGGGCUUCGGCUCCGAGUAAAGUGGCGCACGGGUGAGUAACACGUAGGUAACCUGCCUCUAAGAUUGGGAUAACUUGUCGAAAGAUGAGCUAAUACCAAAUAAGACCACGGUUUCCUCGGGGACAGGGGUCAAAGGUAGCCUCUAUUUAUAAGCUAUCGCUGAGAGAUGGGGCCUGCGUACCAUUAGCUAGUUGGGAGGUAACGGCUCACCAAGGCAAAGAUGGUUAGCUGGUCUGAGGA